UAAGAGGUCCCGCCUGCCCAGUGACAACUGGUUCAACGGCCGCGGUAUUUUGACCGUGCAAAGGUAGCGUAAUCACUUGUCUUUUAAAUGAAGACCUGUAUGAAUGGCAUCACGAGGGCUUAGCUGUCUCCUUUUUCAAGUCAGUGAAAUUGAUCUCCCCGUGCAGAAGCGGGGAUAAAAACAUAAGACGAGAAGACCCUAUGGAGCUUUAGACACCAGAAUAGCACAUGUUAAGACACCCUGAAUAAAGAACUGAACUUAAUGGCCCCCCUAUUCCAAUGUCUUCGGUUGGGGCGACCAUGAGGAACAAAAACCCCUCAUGUGGAAUGGGAGUACCACAACCCACACACUAUUUUUCCUAUACUCCUACAACCAAGAGCUACAACUCAAACUGACAGAAAUUCUGACCAACAAUGAUCCGGCAAUGCUGAUCAACGGACCAAGUUACCCUAGGGAUAACAGCGCAAUCCCCUUUUAGAGCCCAUAUCGACAAGGGGGUUUACGACCUCGAUGUUGGAUCAGGACAUCCUAAUGGUGCAGCCGCUAUUAAGGGUUCGUUUGUUCAACG
rnacentral:rRNA from 1 species